GUAAAAUGAUACUACUUUAGAGCUGGCUAUCAACAUAGAUCAUAGAGACUGAUAAUUGUUAACUGAAUAUGGAUUGAUUAUAGACAAAUAUCGGAGACAUAACUUUUAGCCAAAAUGUCUUAAAGAAAUGAACAUAUUUC